GAGAGCUCAGUUGGUAGAGCAUAAGACUCUUAAUCUCAUAGCUGUGGAUUAGAGCCCCAUUAUGGGUGAACG